rnacentral:rRNA from 1 species
CCAGGAUUCCCUUAGUAAUGGCGAAUGAACAGGGAAAAGCCCAAUUUUAAAAUCACUUUACGGUGAAUUGUAGUUUAUAAGAGGGUAGAACUAUGCUGCCUUGCCUUAAGUUUCUUGAAAAAGAACUACAAAGAGGGUGAAAUACCCGUUUUGUUGUAAGUAGUAGUAUAGAACUUAACUCUAAAGAGUCAUGUUGCUUGGGAAUGCAGCAUAAAUUGGGAGGUAAAUUCCUUCUAAGGCUAAAUACUGGUAGGAGUCCGAUAGCAAACAAGUACCUUAAGGGAAAGAUGAAAGAGAACCUUGAAAAGGGUCUCAAAAGAAAGUGAAAUUGUUAUAAGGAAACCGCUUAAAACUUGUAUAAUCGGUUUAAUAAUAUAUAGGGAAGCAAUUCUUUUAUUAUUAUUUUAUGGGUGACUAUUGCUCAGGUUUGAGCUUAUAAAUUUUAGAGGAAGGUAAGUUGGAUUUCGGUCUAACUUCUUACAGACUCUGGUAAUUUUUAAAGUUUGGGCCAGUAUAGAAAGUCAUAUGGUAGCUAGCUCUUGGUAUAAAUAAAAUAAUAGAUUUAUCUAGCAUUUUAUUUAUAUUAAGGUCUAGUACUGCUAAAUGCUUUAAUAGUUAAAAAGGUUUAAGCGACCCGUCUUGAAACACGGACCAAGGAGUCUAACAUAUAUGCAAGUAUUAUGGUAUAAAACUAAUAUGCGCAAUGAAAGUAAUUUUAAGGUAGGAUCCUGCAAGGGUGCACUAUCAACCGAGCUAAAGGGAUUUUUUUUCUUUGGUUUGAGUAAGAGCAUAUAUGUUGGUACCCGAAAGAUGGUGAACUAUGCCUGAAUAGGGUGAAGCCAGGGGAAACCCUGGUGGAAGCUCGUAGCGAUUCUGACGUGCAAAUCGAUCGUCAAAUUUGGGUAUAGGGGCGAAAGACU